UGUUAUUAUCUGAAGGAAUCAAAGCUUUCAUAUUUAGGAGAAAACAAGCAAAACAAUCAUGUUCAAUCGAGUUAAAUGCGACAGUAAUUUCAGAAAUUUAGGAGUGUGUCAUCUUAUGCAUUUGAUUCUCUCUUUUAACAUGAGCAAAGCGACGAGCUGGGCGAGAGACAGAGGGGAGAGAAGGAGUGAGAGAGAGCGAAGUAGUGCGUUGUAAGUACUGAAGGCUCUGCAUAAGAGGUGGUGUGUAGAAGAAAGGGGGAAGCUGGUCCAGAAGACGGCAGCAACUGUUAAUUCCCACGUGGUCACACUCAUCAAACACCUCCUGGACUUUGAGUUGCGCUUUAUGAGCCCAACUGCAUAUUUCCACAGAGGACCUCACACAGAGGGGAACACCAGGAUGCAGUGUGCUAUCUCUCCUUUCUCCCUAGGUAACACGUUUUAAAAUUGUGUACUGUUAAUUUCCCUAAACAUGCAGUUCCAGACUUUUUCUUUUACAUUAGUAUUUGUCAAGUUGUAGAUUGUUGAGUAUUCUGUUCUGAUUAUAUUGCACACUAAUUGGUUUUCAUUAGAAAAUGUGAUCCCUUUUGAACGUGUUAGACAUUGCCUCAGCUUUAAUAAAAGCAUAUUACUGUAA